GACGAACGCUGGCGGCGUGCUUAACACAUGCAAGUCGAACGGAAAGGCCCUGCUUUUGUGGGGUGCUCGAGUGGCGAACGGGUGAGUAACACGUGAGUAACCUGCCCUUGACUUUGGGAUAACUUCAGGAAACUGGGGCUAAUACCGGAUAGGAGCUCCUGCUGCAUGGUGGGGGUUGGAAAGUUUCGGCGGUUGGGGAUGGACUCGCGGCUUAUCAGCUUGUUGGUGGGGUAGUGGCUUACCAAGGCUUUGACGGGUAGCCGGCCUGAGAGGGUGACCGGCCACAUUGGGACUGAGAUACAGCCCAGACUCCUACGGGAGGCAGCAGUGGGGAAUAUUGCACAAUGGGCGGAAGCCUGAUGCAGCAACGCCGCGUGCGGGAUGACGGCCUUCGGGUUGUAAACCGCUUUCGCCUGUGACGAAGCGUGAGUGACGGUAAUGGGUAAAGAAGCACCGGCUAACUACGU
rnacentral:rRNA from 1 species